CCUACGGGAGGCAGCAGUGAGGAAUAUUGGUCAAUGGGCGGAAGCCUGAACCAGCCAAGUCGCGUGAGGGAUUAAGGCCCUGCGGGUCGUAAACCUCUUUUGCCGGGGAGCAGUGGUCCGGACGAGUCCGGGCCGGGAGAGUACCCGGAGAAAAAGCAUCGGCUAACUCCGUGCCAGCAGCCGCGGUAAUACGGAGGAUGCGAGCGUUAUCCGGAUUUAUUGGGGUUAAAGGGUGCGUAGGCGGGCAUUUAAGCCGGCGGUCAAAUGUCGGGGCUCAACCCCGGCCUGCCGUCGGAACUGGGUGCCUUGAGUGGGCGAGAAGUAUGCGGAAUGCGUGGUGUAGCGGUGAAAUGCAUAGAUAUCACGCAGAACCCCGAUUGCGAAGGCAGCAUACCGGCGCCCGACUGACGCUGAGGCACGAAAGUGCGGGUAUCGAACAGGAUUAGAUACCCGGGUAGUC
rnacentral:rRNA from 1 species